AUACGGAGGUGGCUAGCGUUGUUCGGAAUUACUGGGCGUAAAGCGCGCGUAGGCGGGUUGGCAAGUUGAAGGUGAAAUCCCAGGGCUCAACCCUGGAACUGCCUCCAAAACUGCCAGUCUUGAGUUCGGAAGAGGUGAGUGGAAUUCCUAGUGUAGAGGUGAAAUUCGUAGAUAUUAGGAAGAACACCAGUGGCGAAGGCGACUCACUGGUCCGAUACUGACGCUGAGGUGCGAAAGCGUGGGGAGCAAACAGGAUUAGAAACCCCAGUAGUCC
rnacentral:rRNA from 1 species